rnacentral:sRNA from 1 species
AUAGGGUUAUUGCAUGAAUAUUGGAGAAUAUUGUCCAGAGUAAAAUUUUAUAUUGCACGAGCUUGCGAGUGCAAUAUAUGUUCUACGAGGGCAAUAUUCCCCAAUAUUCACGCAAUAACCCUUUUA